rnacentral:misc_RNA from 1 species
UCAUACAUCAGCAACUUCAGGUAGUGAAUUAUCUGAUGCAUCAAAAGAUGAUGAAUCAGACUCUACAUGGGAGGAAUUGGGUCCUGUUGACAACACAGGUUCUAGCAGGAAGGACCCAGAAGAAAAAAGCACAUUUACCCAUUAUGAGCCUUCUCUCUCAGAUGAUGAAUUUUCAGAAACAGAAAGAGAGUUCUUAACUGGAACUCGUGAAGGAGGGC